rnacentral:misc_RNA from 1 species
AUCGCUCUCGACUCUAUUCAGCUAUUUGACUCGCCUUGCACAGAUAUUUCUUUACCUGUCUAAAGUGGUACAUCAAUUGAUUUCUAGUUCCGAUCAACUAUACUUGAUGUUUUAUGAACUUCAAAAUCGAAAUGCCUUUUAAAAAUACAAUGAUAUUUUAUAUUAGGAUAAAUGCUUGUCUAUAUUUUUAAAUCAAUUUGAAUGAAAUUGAAAGAUUACGUGACUUUUAUACUUGUUAUAUUCUUUUAUGAUAAAUCAUUCAAAGCAGCC